rnacentral:rRNA from 1 species
UACAGAGGGUGCGAGCGUUAUUCGGAAUUACUGGGCGUAAAGCGCGCGUAGGCGGCUUUGCAAGUCGGGUGUGAAAUCCCCAGGCUUAACCUGGGAACUGCAUUCGAGACUGCAUUGCUAGAGUAUGGGAGAGGGAAGUGGAAUUUCCGGUGUAGCGGUGAAAUGCGUAGAUAUCGGAAGGAACAUCAGUGGCGAAGGCGGCAUCCUGGACCGAUACUGACGCUGAGGAGCGAAAGCCAGGGGAGCAAACGGG